rnacentral:rRNA from 1 species
AGGUCCAGCCUGCCCAGUGACUAUUAGUUUAACGGCCGCGGUAUUCUGACCGUGCAAAGGUAGCGUAAUCACUCGUCCUUUAAAUGGGGUCAAGUAUGAAAGGCUAAACGAGGGCUUAACUGUCUCCCCUCCCAGGUCAGUGAAAUUGAUCUAUCCGUGCAGAAGCGGGUGUGAAAAUACAAGACGAGAAGACCCUUUGGAGCUUUAGGUACAAGGUUUAACCACGUUAAGCAAGUCAAUAAAAACACAACCCCCGUGGCAACUAAGACUUUACCUUUGGUUGGGGCGACCACGGAGUAAAAUUAAGCCUCCGAGUGGACUGGGGGAUCCCUAAAACUAAGAGACACACCUCUAAGUCACAGAAAUUCUGACCAAAAUGAUCCGGCCAUCAAGCCGAUCAACGAACCAAGUUACCCUAGGGAUAACAGCGCAAUCCUCUCCCAGAGCCCAUAUCGACGAGGGGGUUUACGACCUCGAUGUUGGAUCAGGACAUCCUAAUGGUGCAGCCGCUAUUAAGGGUUCGUUUGUUCAACGAUUAAAGUCCUACGUGAUCUGA